rnacentral:tRNA from 2 species
AAAGAAUUAGUUAAAUAAAUAACAUUAGUAUGUCAAACUAAAAUUAUUAGUUAUUAAUAUUCUUUG